AACGUAGGACACAAGCGUUAUCCGGAGUUACUGGGCGUAAAGGGCGUGUAGGCGGACCUAUAAGUCUAUUCUGAAAGCUCCUGGCUAAACUGGGAGAGGCGAAUGGAGACUGUAGAUCUAGAGUGAGGAAGAGGAAAGUGGAAUUCCGCGUGUAGUGGUGAAAUGCGUAGGAGAUGCGGAGGAACACCAGUGGCGAAAGCGACUUUCUGGUCCUUAACUGACGCUGAGGAGCGAAAGCGUGGGGAGCGAACAGG
rnacentral:rRNA from 1 species